rnacentral:rRNA from 1 species
UACGGAGGGUGCAAGCGUUAUCCGGAUUCACUGGGUUUAAAGGGUGCGUAGGUGGGCUGGUAAGUCAGUGGUGAAAUCUCCAGGCUUAACUUGGAAACUGCCAUUGAUACUAUCAGUCUUGAAUACCGUGGAGGUCAGCGGAAUAUGUCAUGUAGCGGUGAAAUGCUUAGAUAUGACGUAGAACACCAAUGGCGAAGGCAGCUUACUACAGGAAUAUUGACACUGAUGCACGAAAGCGUGGGGAUCAAACAGG